ensembl:snRNA LOC120096870 U6 spliceosomal RNA
GUGCUCGCUUCGGCAGCACAUAUACUAAAAUUGGAACGAUACAGAGAAGAUUAGCAUGGCCCCUGCACAAGAAUGACAUGCAAAUUCGUGAAGUGUUCCAUAUUUUU